UACGUGGGGACCAAGCGUUGUUCGGAUUUACUGGGCGUAAAGGGCGCGUAGGCGGCAUGACAAGUCACUUGUGAAAUCUCUGGGCUUAACUCAGAACGGCCAAGUGAUACUGUCGUGCUAGAGUGCGGAAGGGGCUACUGGAAUUCUCGGUGUAGCGGUGAAAUGCGUAGAUAUCGAGAGGAACACCUGCGGCGAAGGCGGGUAGCUGGGCCGACACUGACGCUGAGGCGCGAAAGCCAGGGGAGCGAACGGG
rnacentral:rRNA from 1 species